rnacentral:rRNA from 1 species
UUUUGACCUCAGUUCAGACAAGGCUACCCGCCGAAUUUAAGCAUAUUACUAAGCGGAGGAAAAGAAACUAACAAGGAUUCCCCUAGUAACGGCGAGCGAACCGGGAAGAGCCCAACUUGAAAAUCUAAAAGGUUGUACCUUUCGAAUUGUAGUCUAGAGACGCGUUCUCUGCGGCGGAUCGGCUCCAAGUUCCCUGGAAAGGGACGUCAGAGAGGGUGAGAACCCCGUCGAAGCCGGUUUCAGUCGCUCCACGAGGCGCAGUCGAGGAGUCGGGUUGUUUGGGAAUGCAGCCCUAAGCAGGUGGUAAAUUCCAUCUAAGGCUAAAUAUUGGCGAGAGACCGAUAGCGAACAAGUACCGCGAGGGAAAGAUGAAAAGACCUUUGAAAAGAGAGUUAAAAAGUACCUGAAAUUGUUGAGGGGGAAGCAAUUCAAACCUGUGGGUGCUCCCGGGGCAGUAGCAAUACACGCGCUCGGGGCUGGUCAACGUGGGUUAGCUUGGAAGGAUAUCACUUCCGAGUUGACCGAGGACUCGACGUUGGCGGAAAGGUUUGCAUUGACCCGUCUAGAAACACGGACCAAGGAGUCUAA